GCGGCCCGCCCGCCCCCGCCCGGCCCCCCAGCCGCCCCGGCCGGCCCGGAUCGGAACGGUCAACGCCCCGGGACGUGCGGAUGCGGGCGGCCGACGUGCGGCCAGACCAGCCCAUUCAUCCCUGCAUGGGCAGGCCCAGCAGAAGGCUGGGAGAGAAUCAUAUUGGAAUGAACCACAGUGUCACCUAGGAACUCCAACCCUGAAACAAAAACGUCCUCUUUCUGGCAUCAGGAGCGGCACCUGAAGCCACCCAGCAAAUGCUCAGCUCCUCCGCCAGGUCUUCCCACAGCCGCACGCUUCUGCAGAGCCCGGAAGGCAAGAAUCAUUAUCAUCCCCAUCCUAAAGAUGCCGCUUCCCGGGGGCUGGAGCAAACACAGCCGGCUUUAUCAGACUGUCAGGGAACACGCAGACCCACAGGAGGGAAUAAGUUGCAACCUGUUUCAAGUCGUGUUUCUGGAGCCAAUUUCGUGGCAUGAGGCAUGCCUGUAGUAAGAUGCCAAGCACCAAAAGCAGGCAACAAAAUUGUUCUUAAGUGGUCCCAAUUUUGUACCUACCCAUGGCGCUAUUUCUUUGGGGGAUCUCUCGGGAAGCUCCGUCUGGAAACUCUGUCUCAGAAUGGCACCGGCCAGGAGAGCACUCCCAAACCUCAUUUUUAACAGGCAUGAGACGCCAACAUAAUGGAACACACACUCCAUCCCGAUGGCAUUUAAUGUACUGGUCAAAUAAAAUGUGCUAUUUUCCUCCUA